GCGGUGCUCCAUACCGACCUAGAGGAGCCUGUCCUAUAAUCGAUAAUCCACGCUACACCCCACCACCCCUUGCAACCCAGCUUAUAUACCGCCGUCGUCAGCCUACCUUGUGAAAGAACUAGAGUGGGCAAAAUAGUUAUUAACAAAAACGUCAGGUCAAGGUGUAGCCAAUGGGGUGGAAGAGAUGGGCUACACUUUCUACCUCAGAACACACGAAUAGCACAGUGAAACCUGAGCUUGAAGGCGGAUUUAGUAGUAAGGCAAACAAGAAAAUUUACCUGAAACCCGCUCUGGAGCGCGCACACACCGCCCGUCACCCUCAUCACACCAACCUCACAUCUUAACAUAUAAAGUCUUACCACAAAUAGAUGAGGAAAGUCGUAACAUGGUAAGCGCACCGGAAGGUGUGCUUGGAAUACAAACAGUAGCUUAACACAAAGCAUUCAGCUUACAAUUGAAACAUGUUAGUG
rnacentral:rRNA from 1 species